rnacentral:tRNA from 1 species
GUCGGUAUGGUGGAAUAGGCGAGACACGUCUGCUUUAGGGACAGAUGCUUAAGUGCAUGUGAGUUCAAAUCUCACUACCGACA